GACGAACGCUGGCGGCGUGCUUAACACAUGCAAGUCGAACGAAGUGGCGAACGGGUGAGUAACGCGUAAUCACCCUGCCCUUCAGAGGGGGACACCAGUUGGAAACUACUGCUAAUCCCGCAUAAUGAAGGAGGGUAUUGCGUCUGAGUAGCGAGUUGGAGGGGUACUGGCCCACCAAGGCGAUGAUCGGUCGCCGGGCUGAGAGGAUGAACGGCCACUUUGGGACUGAGACACGGCCCAGAUUCCUACGGGAGGCAGCAGUGGGGAAUCUGCCGCAAUGGAAGAAAGUCUGACGGAGCAACGCCGCAUGAGUGAUGACGGCCUUCGGGUUGUAAAGCGCUGUUAAUCGGGACGCGGUACCGGAAUAGAAAGCCACGGCUAACUACGUGCCAGCAGCCGCGGUAAUAC
rnacentral:rRNA from 1 species